UGCAGCCUGCAACUCGGCUGCAUGAAGCUGGAAUCGCUAGUAAUCGCGGAUCAGAAUGCCGCGGUGAAUACGUUCCCGGGUCUUGUACACACCGCCCGUCACACCAUGGGAGUCGGGAAUGCCCGAAGUCAGUGACCCAACCGGAAAGGGGGGAGCUGCCGAAGGCAGGCCUGGUAACUGGGGUGAAGUCGUAACAAGGUACC
rnacentral:rRNA from 1 species